UCUUCAAAUUGUAGACAUUAGUGAAGUUCCAUACUCAUCAAUAAACCAAAAUUCCAGUUCUUUGCGCAUACACACCUCCUGUCUUGACUCCUCCUUCCCUCAUUUUGCACAUACAGUGUACUCAUGUGUGACCUUUAAUCCCUUACAUACAUCUCCUUCCUUUGUCUUUCAGGGAGUCCUAAGUGAGUGUGUCACAAUGCAAGUCAACUAUAAUCAUCAUGAGAUGGUCUCCAUAUUUUAACUCUCUUGCUUCAUAUAACCCAUUUGCAUAUCAGCCUCUGCUCUCCAAGGAACCACCGUGAAAUUGAUAUCAAAAGUCUCGAGCAGAUUUGAUAUUCUGGAGGGCUGUGCCCAGAAAAUUGAGUUUGACCAAAUCUGGGCAAUGAUUAUGUAACUUUUGAGAAAAAGUUUAUCAAGCCCAAAGGCAUCACCAGGACAGCAUUCUCAUCCACUGGCACACUUCCCCAGUUCUCCAUCAGUAAACUUCCUACAACUGCACUGCUGCAGCAUGCCAAGGCUAUGCCUACCACUAGGUGGGUGAA